rnacentral:rRNA from 1 species
GACGAACGCUGGCGGCGCGCCUAACACAUGCAAGUCGAACGAGAGAUGAGGAGCUUGCUCUUCAAAUCGAGUGGCGAACGGGUGAGUAACGCGUGAGGAACCUGCCUUAAAGAGGGGGACAACAGUUGGAAACGACUGCUAAUACCGCAUAAGCCCACGGCUCGGCAUCGAGCAGAGGGAAAAGGAGCAAUCCGCUUUGAGAUGGCCUCGCGUCCGAUUAGCUAGUUGGUGAGGUAACGGCCCACCAAGGCGACGAUCGGUAGCCGGACUGAGAGGUUGAACGGCCACAUUGGGACUGAGACACGGCCCAGACUCCUACGGGAGGCAGCAGUGGGGAAUAUUGCACAAUGGGGGAAACCCUGAUGCAGCGACGCCGCGUGGAGGAAGAAGGUCUUCGGAUUGUAAACUCCUGUUGUUGAGGAAGAUAAUGACGGUACUCAACAAAGAAGUGACGGCUAACUACGUGCCAGCAGCCGCGGUAAAACGUAGGUCACAAGCGUUGUCCGGAAUUACUGGGUGUAAAGGGAGCGCAGGCGGGAGAACAAGUUGGAAGUGAAAUCCAUGGGCUCAACCCAUGAACUGCUUUCAAAACUGUUUUUCUUGAGUAGUGCAGAGGUAGGCGGAAUUCCCGGUGUAGCGGUGGAAUGCGUAGAUAUCGGGAGGAACACCAGUGGCGAAGGCGGCCUACUGGGCACCAACUGACGCUGAGGCUCGAAAGUGUGGGUAGCAAACAGGAUUAGAUACCCUGGUAGUCCACACCGUAAACGAUGAUUACUAGGUGUUGGAGGAUUGACCCCUUCAGUGCCGCAGUUAACACAAUAAGUAAUCCACCUGGGGAGUACGACCGCAAGGUUGAAACUCAAAGGAAUUGACGGGGGCCCGCACAAGCAGUGGAGUAUGUGGUUUAAUUCGACGCAACGCGAAGAACCUUACCAAGUCUUGACAUCCCUUGACGAUGCCCCAAACAGUAUUUCUCUUCGGAGCAAGGAGACAGGUGGUGCAUGGUUGUCGUCAGCUCGUGUCGUGAGAUGUUGGGUUAAGUCCCGCAACGAGCGCAACCCUUAUGGUCAGUUACUACGCAAGAGGACUCUGGCCAGACUGCCGUUGACAAAACGGAGGAAGGUGGGGAUGACGUCAAAUCAUCAUGCCCUUUAUGACUUGGGCUACACACGUACUACAAUGGCGUUAAACAAAGAGAAGCAAGACCGCGAGGUGGAGCAAAACUCAGAAACAACGUCCCAGUUCGGACUGCAGGCUGCAACUCGCCUGCACGAAGUCGGAAUUGCUAGUAAUCGUGGAUCAGCAUGCCACGGUGAAUACGUUCCCGGGCCUU